rnacentral:miRNA from 1 species
CACACACACACACACACAAU